rnacentral:rRNA from 1 species
UACGGGAGGCAGCAGUGGGGAAUAUUGCACAAUGGGCGAAAGCCUGAUGCAGCUAUGCCGCGUGUAUGAAGAAGGCCUUAGGGUUGUAAAGUACUUUCAUCGGGGAGGAAAAAACAAAACUAAUAAUUUUAUUUCUUGACGUUACCCGAAAAAGAAGCACCGGCUAACUCCGUGCCAGCAGCCGCGGUAAUACGGAGGGUGCUAGCGUUAAUCAGAAUUACUGGGCGUAAAGAGCACGUAGGUGGUUUUUUUAAGUCAGAUGUGAAAUCCCUGGGCUUAACCUGGAACUGCAUUUUGAAACUGAAAUACUAGAGUAUCGUAGAGGGAGGUAGAAUUCUAGGUGUAGCGGUGAAAUGCGUAGAUAUCUGGAGGAAUACCUGUGGCGAAAGCGGCCUCCUAAACGAAUACUGACACUGAGGGUGCGAAAGCGUGGGGAGCAAACGACGGAGUUAGAGU